rnacentral:tRNA from 1 species
CCGCCGUAGCUCAGUUGGUAGAGCAGCGGACUCCGGACCCGUUGGUCGACGGUUCGAGUCCGAGGGCGUG